rnacentral:rRNA from 1 species
AUUGAACGCUGGCGGCAGGCCUAACACAUGCAAGUCCAGCGAGAGGCGGGCGGGGGAGUAAUGUCUGGGAAACUGCCUGAUGGGGGGGGAUAACUACUGGAGACGGGAGCGAAUACCGCAUACCCUCAGAUGUGCCCAGAUGGGAUUGGCUGGUAGGUGGGGUAACGGCUCACCUAGGCGACACUCCCUAGAUGGUCUGAGAGGGUGACCAGCCACACUGGAACUGAGACACGGUCCAGACUCCUACGGGAGGCAGCAGUGGGGAAUAUUGCACAAUGGGCGCAAGCCUGAUGCAGCCAUGCCGCGUGUGUGAAGAAGGCCUUCGGGUUGUAAAGCACUUUCAGCGGGGAGGCGUUACCCGCAGAAGAAGCACCGGCUAACUCCGUGCCAGCCGCCGCGGUAAUAC